rnacentral:rRNA from 1 species
UCAGAACGAACGCUGGCGGCGUGGAUAAGACAUGCAAGUCGAACGAGAGAAUUGCUAGCUUGCUAAUAAUUCUCUAGUGGCGCACGGGUGAGUAACACGUGAGUAACCUGCCCCCGAGAGCGGGAUAGCCCUGGGAAACUGGGAUUAAUACCGCAUAGUAUCGAAAGAUUAAAGCAGCAAUGCGCUUGGGGAUGGGCUUGCGGCCUAUUAGUUAGUUGGUGAGGUAACGGCUCACCAAGGCGAUGACGGGUAGCCGGUCUGAGAGGAUGUCCGGCCACACUGGAACUGAGACACGGUCCAGACACCUACGGGUGGCAGCAGUCGAGAAUCAUUCACAAUGGGGGAAACCCUGAUGGUGCGACGCCGCGUGGGGGAAUGAAGGUCUUCGGAUUGUAAACCCCUGUCAUGUGGGAGCAGAUUAAAAAGAUAGUACCACAAGAGGAAGAGACGGCUAACUCUGUGCCAGCAGCCGCGGUAAUACAGAGGUCUCAAGCGUUGUUCGGAAUCACUGGGCGUAAAGCGUGCGUAGGCUGUUUCGUAAGUCGUGUGUGAAAGGCGCGGGCUCAACCCGCGGACGGCACAUGAUACUGCGAGACUAGAGUAAUGGA